AAAUAGAUUAAAAUAAUUAAGGGCACACAAAGGAUGCCUUGGUAGUAAGAGCCGAUGAAGGACGUGGUAAGCUGCGAUAAGCCUAGAUAAGUUGCAAUCGAACGUAAGAGUCUAGGAUUUCCGAAUGGAGCAAUCUAUUAAGAUGGAGUCUUAAUACGAAAGAGGGAACCACGUGAACUGAAACAUCUAAGUAACGCGAGGAAAAGAAAGUAAAAACGAUACCCGAAGUAGCGGCGAGCGAAACGGGUCAAGCCUAAACCUUAAAUAUGUCAAGGAUACAGCCGUUGUAUUUAAGGGGUUGAGGGACAGAGUGAUGAAGAACUGUAAGAUAUUCAAUAUAGUGUAUUGAUGAACUAGAAUAGUCUGGAAAGGUUAACCGUAGAAGGUGAAAGUCCUGUAUACGUAAAUCCUUACACAUAUAACUUUGAUCCCAAGUAACAUGGAACACGAGGAAUUCUGUGUGAAUCAGUGAGGACCAUAUCUCAUAAGGCAAAAUACUCUUACUAACCGAUAGCGCAUAGUACCGUGAGGGAAAGGCGAAAAGAACCCCUGGAGGGGAGUGAAAUAGAACCUGAAAUUGUGUGCUUACAAGCGGUCAGAGCCAGUAAUGGUGAUGGCGUGCCUUUUGGAGAAUGAUCCUGCGAGUUACGUUAAACGGCGAGGUUAAGUAUUACGGAGCCGAAGGGAAACCAAGUCUUAAUAGGGCGAUUUAGUCGUUUGGCGUAGACGCGAAACCUGGUGAUCUAAACCUGUCCAGGAUGAAGCUGUGGUAAGACACAGUGGAGGUCCUAACCCACCGCCGUUGAAAAGUUGGGGGAUGAGGUAGGUUUAGGGGUGAAAAGCCAAUCGAACCAGGAGAUAGCUCGUUCUCUCCGAAAUGCAUCUAGGUGCAGCCUUGAGUGUUCAAUUAUGGGGGUAGAGCACUGAAUGAUCUAGGGGGCAUAUUGCUUACUGAAAUCAAUCAAACUCCGAAUACCAUAAUUUAUAGCUCAGGAGUGAGACUAUGGCAGUUAACUUCCAUUGUCAACAGGGAAACAACCCAGACCACCAGCUAAGGUCCCUAAUUAUAACUAAGUGGGAAAGGAGGUGGAGAUUCACAAACAACUAGGAGGUUGGCUUAGAAGCAGCCAUACCUUUAAAGAGUGCGUAAUAGCUCACUAGUCGAGAGUCUCUGCGCCGACAAUGUAACGGGGCUAAGUUAUAAACCGAAGCUGUGGAAUCCGUAAGGAUUGGUAGGAGAGCGUUCUGUAGGCCGUUGAAGGAGAAGGGUAACCGACUUUGGAGGUAUCAGAAGUGAGAAUGCAGGAAUAAGUAGCGAGAAAGGGGGCGAGAAUCCCCCUCGCCGGAAGACCAAGGUUUUCAGGGUAAAGCUUGUCUUCCCUGAGUAAGCCGGGACCUAAGCCCAGGCUAUAAUGCGUAGGCGAAUGGAAAACAGAUUAAUAUUUCUGUGCCAGUCAUAUAUUGUGAUGGAGGAACGCAGAAGGGUAUGCGCGCGGACGAACGGAAGUGUACGUAGAAGUAUGUAGGAUGACUUAGUAGGAAAAUCCAUUAAGUUAUAUCUGAGGUAUGAUAUAUAGUCGUAAGAUGAAUGCGCAAAUCCCACGCUGCCAAGAAAAGCUUCUAACGUUAAUUUAUGACUGCCCGUACUGCAAACCGACACAGGUGGUCAGGAUGAGAAAUCUAAGGCGGACAGGCUAACUCUCGUUAAGGAACUCUGCAAAAUAACCUCGCAACUUCGGGAGAAGAGGAGCCCUUGGGUGUUAGUAUCCACGCGAUACAAAGCGCUCGAGGGUCGCAGUGAAGAGGCUCAAGCAACUGUUUAACAAAAACACAGGUCUAUGCUAAGCUGGAAGGCGAUGUAUAUGGGCUGACACCUGCCCAGUGCUGGAAGGUUAAGAGGAGGAGUGAGAGCUCCGAAUUGAAGCCCCAGUGAACGGCGGCCGUAACUAUAACGGUCCUAAGGUAGCGAAAUUCCUUGUCGGGUAAGUUCCGACCUGCACGAAUGGUGUAAUGAUUUGAGCGCUGUCUUGACGGGAGGCCUGGUGAAAUUGUAUUACCGGUGAAGAUACCGGUUACCUACAGUAGGACGGAAAGACCCCAUGGAGCUUUACUGUAGCUUGGUAUUGGGUUUUGGCAUUGCAUGUAUAGGAUAGUUGGGAGACUGAGAUGAUAUGGCGCUAGCUGUAUCGGAGUCAUCGGUGGAAUACCAACCAUUCAAUGCUGAAAUUCUAAUCUGUGGUUUGUAGCCACGGAGACAGUGCUAGGUGGGCAGUUUGACUGGGGAGGUCGCCUCCGAAAGAGUAACGGAGGCGUUCAAAGGUUCUCUCAGGUUGGAUGGAAAUCAACCAUAGAGUGCAAUGGCAUAAGAGAGCUUGACUGCAAGACUGACGGGUCGAGCAGAUGCGAAAGCAGGACAUAGUGAUCCGGCGACUCCGAAUGGAAGGGUCGUCGCUCACCGGAUAAAAGCUACCCUGGGGAUAACAGGCUGAUCCUACCCGAGAGUCCAUAUCGACGGUAGGGUUUGGCACCUCGAUGUCGGCUCAUCGCAUCCUGGGGCUGGAGAAGGUCCCAAGGGUUGGGCUGUUCGCCCAUUAAAGCGGUACGUGAGCUGGGUUCAGAACGUCGUGAGACAGUUCGGUCCCUAUCCACUGUAGGCGUUAGAAUAUUGAGAAGACCUGUCCUUAGUACGAGAGGACCGGGAUGGACAAACCUCUGAUGUACCAGUUGUCACGCCAGUGGCACAGCUGGGUAGUCACGUUUGGAAUAGAUAACCGCUGAAAGCAUCUAAGCGGGAAACUAACUUCAAGAUAAGUAUUCUUUAAGAUACCUUCGAGCCUAGGAGGUUGAUAGGUUGGGGGUGUAAGUACAGCAAUGUAUUUAGCUGACCAAUACUAAUUAUCGAAGUUUUAAUCUAAUUUGUUUUUACUAUAUAGUUUC
rnacentral:rRNA from 1 species